UACGUAGGUCCCGAGCGUUGUCCGGAUUUAUUGGGCGUAAAGCGAGCGCAGGUGGUUUAUUAAGUCUGGUGUAAAAGGCAGUGGCUCAACCAUUGUAUGCAUUGGAAACUGGUAGACUUGAGUGCAGGAGAGGAGAGUGGAAUUCCAUGUGUAGCGGUGAAAUGCGUAGAUAUAUGGAGGAACACCGGUGGCGAAAGCGGCUCUCUGGCCUGUAACUGACACUGAGGCUCGAAAGCGUUGGGAGCAAACAGG
rnacentral:rRNA from 1 species